UAGUCGAUAAAUAUCUUUUAAAACGCGCGAAACGCAUGGAGAUCUUAGAUUUAUUUCUUCUCGUUUUACUUAGUGAGACGAUAUGUACAAUGGCUUUCCGGAAUUGUCCUGCAACGUAAAUAACUCUGUCUUUUACUAAAUGUCCAACUUCAGAGAAGUCAUGGGUGGAAGCCGCAAAGAAGAAAAACUGUUCAAAUAUCCCCCAGAAUUCUACCAGCCCAGAGAAUUUUAGAUACCACUGUGUGGCAAAUGCCUUCAUGAAUCAAACUAUUGAAGUGUGUGCACCUGGUUUAUAUCUCUUAGGAUAUUGUCCAGAAUACAAUUUGCAAGGAGAAAGAAUACAAGACAAUUAUAAUGCUGAUUAAAAAAAAUUUCGAAACGCCUUGUCCAACCAGAUACAAGUCAUGGAUGUCCUAUAUAUAUCCAAAUUGUGUUGUAAUAAUGUAGUAAUGAAAACCAAGAAAAUCCACCAAAUGAAGUCAAUAAACCAGAAGUAAACAAGACUGCUUUAGAAAUCAAUUUAGAAAUGAAAGAAGGAGGGGAGUUAGUGUCCAUGGACAUAAUCAUAUUUGUUUGCAUCAGCAUUUCUCUAGUGGUAUUCACAGGAUUCGUAAUAUAUCUGAUGAGAUAUUCAAAAAGAAGAACAAAACCAGGUAUAUCU